rnacentral:rRNA from 1 species
UACGGAGGGGGCUAGCGUUGUUCGGAAUUACUGGGCGUAAAGCGCGCGUAGGCGGUUUGAUAAGCCGGGUGUGAAACCUCCAAGCUCAACUUGGAGCGGCCACUCGGAACUGUCAUGACUUGAGUCAGGUAGGGGAACACGGAAUUCCAGGUGUAGCGGUGAAAUGCUUAGAUAUCUGGAGGAACACCAGUGGCGAAGGCGGUGUUCUGGGCCUGUACUGACGCUGAUGCGCGAAAGCGUGGGGAGCGAACAGG